rnacentral:SRP_RNA from 1 species
CUGCGCGUAGGUGGGGAGCUAGCGGCACCCUGUAUCCGAAAUCCGCUAUACGGAACUGAACGCCUUUCUCGACGGAGUUUAUGGAAGGUCCGCGCGCCGUAAGGAAUGUUGAUAGCAAGGUCUUAUGCAACGCAAUGCCGUGAACCGUGUCAGGACGGGAACGUAGCAGCACUAAGCGGAUGUUUGCGUGUGCCAUAAGGUAGCUUUGCAGGAGUCACCUGCGGCGUUAACGCUUCGGUAGAUUGCGGCAAAAAAGGCUCGCGCAG